GGUUCCGUGGUGUAGUGGUUAUCACGUCAGUCUAACACACUGAAGGUCCCCGGUUCGAGACCGGGCGGAAUCA